UACGUAGGGGGCAAGCGUUGUCCGGAAUUAUUGGGCGUAAAGAGCGCGUAGGCGGUCCGGUAAGUCGGCUGUGAAAGUCAAGGGCUCAACCCUUGAAAGCCGGCCGAUGCUGUCGGACUAGAGUCCGGAAGAGGCGAGUGGAAUUCCCGGUGUAGCGGUGAAAUGCGCAGAUAUCGGGAGGAACACCGGUGGCGAAGGCGGUGGUCUGGGCCGGUACUGACGCUGAGGAGCGAAAGCGUGGGGAGCGAACAGG
rnacentral:rRNA from 1 species